AGUGAACGCUGGCGGCGUGCUUAAUACAUGCAAGUCGAACGAAGUGGCGCACGGGUGAGUAAUAUAUAGUUAAUCUGCCCUACACCGAGAAACAACAUUUGGAAACGACUGCUAAUCCCUCACAGUGUAGGAUGAGACUAUAUCGUAUCCGCUGGUUGGUGAGGUAAUGGCUUACCAAGGCUAUGACGCGUAACUGGUCCGAGAGGAUGAUCAGUCACAUUGGAACGGAGACACGGUCCAAACUCCGACGAGAGGCAGCAGUAAGGAAUAUUGCGCAAUGGGGGAAACCCUGACGCAGCAACGCCGCUUGGGAGGUGAGGGCUUUCGGGUUGUAAACCUCUUUCGAUAUCGAACUUUUUUUGGUGGGUUGAGGGUAGGUGGGGAAGAAGCGCCGGCUAACUACGUGCCAGCAGCCGCGGUAAUUC
rnacentral:rRNA from 1 species